AGCAAAACAAACCAUCAUGGAUCAACAAUCUCAAAGAUAUGAAAAUUAAAUAAGGAUCAUCUGGUUAUACAAUCGUACUCAAUACUAGUCACACACUAAAUGAUGGAAACUUACUGAUACAGAGGUGAAACUUUGGGUUGUCUAUGAUCUCCAAGGAGCCGAGAAGGAAAAGACAUGAAAUCUAGAGACCAGCUCUUUUCUUCAAAUGUUGCUUGAAAUUCAUGAUAUCACCAUAAUAAAAUGAAAAUCUUCAAAUCUUUGAGAAUCCCAGAGCAAAACAAACCAUCAUGGAUCAACAAUGUCAAAGAUACGAAAAUUAAAUAAGGAUCAUCUGGUUAUAAAAUAGCGUAGAGAAGAAGAUACGUUUUAAGUCGAUACAAUCGUACUCAAUACUCAAUACUAGUCACUCUAAAUGAUGGAAACUUUCUGAUACAGAGGCAAAACUUUGGGUUGUCUAUAGAUCUCCAAAGAGCCGAGAAGGAAAAGACAUGAAAUUAGAGACCAGCUCUUUUCUUCAAAUGUUGCUUGAAAUCCA
rnacentral:lncRNA from 1 species